GUGAGGAAUUUUCCGCAAUGGGCGAAAGCCUGACGGAGCAAUGCCGCGUGAAGGAUGAAGGCCUAUGGGUUAUAAACUUCUUUUCUCAGAAAAGAAUUAUGAGGGUAUCUGAGGAAUAAGCAUCGGCUAACUCUGUGCCAGCAGCCGCGGUAAGACAGAGGAUGCAAGCGUUAUCCGGAAUGAUUGGGCGUAAAGCGUCUGUAGGUUGUUUAAAAAGUAUUCUGUCAAAGAUUAGGGCUUAACCCUAGAUAGGCAGAAUAAACUUUUAAGCUAGAGUUUGGUAGAGGCAGAGAGAAUUCCCGGUGGAGCGGUGAAAUGCGUAUAUAUCGGGAGGAACACCAAAGGCGAAGGCACUCUGCUGGGCCAAUACUAACACUGAGAGACGAAAGCGAGGGGAGCAAAUGGGAUUAGAAACCCUAGUAGUCC
rnacentral:rRNA from 1 species